GAUGAAGAACGCAGCGAAAUGCGAUAAGUAAUGUGAAUUGCAGAAUUCCGUGAAUCAUCGAGUCUUUGAACGCACAUUGCGCCCCCUGGUAUUCCGGGGGGCAUGCCUGUCCGAGCGUCAUUGCUGCCCUCAAGCACGGCUUGUGUGUUGGGCUCCGCCCCCCUCCCGGGGGGCGGGCCCGAAAGGCAGCGGCGGCACCGCGUCCGGUCCUCGAGCGUAUGGGGCUUUGUCACCCGCUCUGUAGGCCCGGCCGGCGCCCGCCGGCGACCCCAAUCAAUCUUUCCAGGUUGACCUCGGAUCAGGUAGGGAUACCCGCUGAACUUAAGCAUAUCAAUAAGCGGAGGA
rnacentral:misc_RNA from 1 species